GCUCAGAUUGAACGCUGGCGGAAUGCUUUACACAUGCAAGUCGAACGCAGCACGGACUUCGGUCUGGUGGCGAGUGGCGAACGGGUGAGUAACAUAUCGGAACGUAUCCAAUAAUGGGGGAUAACGAGUCGAAAGAUUCGCUAAUACCGCAUACGCCCUACGGGGGAAAGCUAGGGACCUUCGGGCCUGGCGUUAAUGGAGCGGCCGAUAUCUGAUUAGCUAGUUGGUGAGGUAAAGGCUCACCAAGGCGACGAUCAGUAGCUGGUCUGAGAGGACGACCAGCCACACUGGAACUGAGACACGGUCCAGACUCCUACGGGAGGCAGCAGUGGGGAAUUUUGGACAAUGGGCGCAAGCCUGAUCCAGCCAUUCCGCGUGAGUGAAGAAGGCCUUCGGGUUGUAAAGCUCUUUCGCAAGGGAAGAAAACUUACCCUCUAACAUAGGGUGAGGUUGACGGUACCUUGAUAAGAAGCACCGGCUAACUACGUGCCAGCAGCCGCGGUAAUACGUAGGGUGCGAGCGUUAAUCGGAAUUACUGGGCGUAAAGCGUGCGCAGGCGGCUUUGUAAGUCAGAUGUGAAAUCCCCGAGCUCAACUUGGGAACUGCGUUUGAAACUACAAGGCUAGAAUAUGUCAGAGGGGGGUAGAAUUCCACGUGUAGCAGUGAAAUGCGUAGAGAUGUGGAGGAAUACCAAUGGCGAAGGCAGCCCCCUGGGAUAAUAUUGACGCUCAUGCACGAAAGCGUGGGGAGCAAACAGGAUUAGAUACCCUGGUAGUCCACGCCCUAAACGAUGUCUACUAGUUGUUGGUGGAGUAAAAUCCAUGAGUAACGCAGCUAACGCGUGAAAUAGACCGCAUG
rnacentral:rRNA from 1 species